rnacentral:rRNA from 1 species
CCUACGGGGAGGCAGCAGUGGGGAAUUUUGGACAAUGGGCGCAAGCCUGAUCCAGCAAUGCCGCGUGAGUGAAGAAGGCCUUCGGGUUGUAAAGCUCUUUUGUCAGGGAAGAAACGGCUGAGGCUAAUAUCCUCGGCUAAUGACGGUACCUGAAGAAUAAGCACCGGCUAACUACGUGCCAGCAGCCGCGGUAAUACGUAGGGUGCAAGCGUUAAUCGGAAUUACUGGGCGUAAAGCGUGCGCAGGCGGUUUUGUAAGUCUGUCGUGAAAGCCCCGGGCUUAACCUGGGAAUUGCGAUGGAGACUGCAAGGCUUGAAUCUGGCAGAGGGGGGUAGAAUUCCACGUGUAGCAGUGAAAUGCGUAGAGAUGUGGAGGAACACCGAUGGCGAAGGCAGCCCCCUGGGUCAAGAUUGACGCUCAUGCACGAAAGCGUGGGGAGCAAACAGGAUUAGAUACCCUGGUAGUCCACGCCCUAAACGAUGUCUACUAGUUGUCGGUCUUAAUGACUUGGUAACGCAGCUACGCGNGAGUAGACGCGUGGGUAGGUACGGUCGCGAGAAGUAAACGUACGAAGAAGUAGUACGGCGUGAGACGUAGACGACGACGACGACGAGGGAGGAGG